rnacentral:rRNA from 1 species
CCCAGACUCCUACGGGAGGCAGCAGUGGGGGAUAUUGCACAAUGGGGGGAACCCUGAUGCAGCGACGCCGCGUGGGUGAAGGAGCGUUUCGGCGCGUAAAGCCCUCUCGGCAGGGAAGAAGGAGGACGGUACCUGACUAAGGAGCCCCGGCUAACUACGUGCCAGCAGCCGCGGUAAUACGUAGGGGGCAAGCGUUAUCCGGAUUUACUGGGUGUAAAGGGGGCGCAGACGGCAGCGCAAGCCAGGAGUGAAAGCCCGGGGCCCAACCCCGGGACUGCUCUUGGAACUGCGCGGCUGGAGUGCAGGAGGGGCAGGCGGAAUUCCUGGUGUAGCGGUGAAAUGCGUAGAUAUCAGGAGGAACACCGGUGGCGAAGGCGGCCUGCUGGACUGCGACUGACGUUGAGGCCCGAAAGCGUGGGGAGCAAACAGGAUUAGAUACCCUAGUA